CCUACGGGUGGCAGCAGUGAGGAAUAUUGGUCAAUGGACGAGAGUCUGAACCAGCCAAGUCGCGUGAAGGAUGAAUGCCCUAUGGGUUGUAAACUUCUUUUAUAAGGGAAUAAAAUCUUCCACGUGUGCGCUUUUGUAUGUACCUUAUGAAUAAGGAUCGGCUAACUCCGUGCCAGCAGCCGCGGUAAUACGGAGGAUGCGAGCGUUAUCCGGAUUUAUUGGGUUUAAAGGGAGCGUAGGUGGAUUGUUAAGUCAGUUGUCAAAGGUUGCGGCUCAACCGUAAAAUUGCAGUUGAAACUGGCAGUCUUGAGUACAGGAGAGGUGUGCGGAAUUCGUGGUGUAGCGGUGAAAUGCUUAGAUAUCGCGAAGAACUCCGAUUGCGAAGGCAGCUCGCUGGACUGCAACUGACACUGAGGCUCGAAAGCGUGGGUAUCGAACAGGAUUAGAUACCCCAGUAGUC
rnacentral:rRNA from 1 species